rnacentral:rRNA from 1 species
GACAGAGGCCCCAAGCGUUAGGCGGAAUCACUGGGCUUAAAGCGUGUGUAGGCGGAUCGUUAAGUGUCUUGUGAAAUCCCACGGCUCACCCGUGGAACUGCUGGGCAUACUGGCGAUCUUGGGCCAACUAGGGGCAGCCGGAACAAGCGGUGGAGCGGUGAAAUGCGUAGAUAUCGCUUGGAACGCCAAAGGUGAAAACAGGCCGCUGGGGUUGUGCCGACGCUGAGACACGAAAGCCAGGGGAGCAAACGGG